rnacentral:lncRNA from 1 species
AUUCCAGCCACUACAAUGAGCCUGUCCACCCAUUUCUCCCUCCACCAGCCUCCAUUGGUGUUUACAUAGAGACAGAUAUUUUGCCACGGACAGAUAUUGGACCUGUGGCGUUGACUAUGCGGUUAGCUCUGACGGUCCCGUGUGGGGUCUGGACCUCCCACUUCCCGUCGCUGGUGGGUGUGAGACCAGAGAGCGGAGCUGGUUUGUCGAUCUGGGCUCCGUAGAUACGGGGCCCCAGCUGCCAGGGUCAUGAUCAGUCCAGACAUCGUCCAUGUUGAGCAGGGGGAAGAGCUCCUUGAUCUUCUCAGGUGUGAUGAGCCACUGGGGCGUGGGGUGUCGGUGGGUCCUGGACAUCUGGUACUUCAGCUCAUCCACUCUGACUGGGGUGGAGGCAACACGGAUGCUGCCUGGCUGGUGGGAACCCACCGCCUAGAGACACACAGAGAAAGUGAAGGUGUGAACAUACAGAUACAGACUCACAUUAUCAUCCAUUGUGCCGUUCUGUGGUUUAUGUGUAGUGUACGAGACUCUCAUACAGAUUGAUGCUGUAGUAGUGGACCUUCUUCAGGUUGAUACCAGGGUGGUAGUAUGUGGUCAGACCAGCAAAGAACAGACAAUAAACAUGGAUACUUAGAGGAGGAGGCAUGGAAGUGUACAUAUGAUCGCUGACUACACUUAAUGGACUGUAAGUUUGCAAAGCAAUGUUUUGAAAGUGCAUCUUUUUUAUAUACAGUGGGGCAAAAAAGUAUUUAGUCAGCCACCAAUUGUGCAAGUUCUCCCACUUAAAAAGAUGAGAGAGGCCUGUAAUUUUUCAUCAUAGGUGCACUUCAACUAUGACAGACAAAAUGAGAAAAAAAAAUCCAGAAAAUCACAUUGUAGGAUUUUUUAAAGGAAUUUAUUUGCAAAUUAUGGUGGAAAAUAAGUAUUUGGUCACCAACCAACAAGUAAGAUUUCUGGCUCUCACAGACCUGUAACUUUUUCUUUAAGAGGCUCCUCUGUCCUCCGCUCGUUAC